CACGAAAUUGUGCGAGCUAACUUACUAUUAAAUUUAUGUUACAUAAUAAAAGGUAAUAGUAAGUUAGGGGUGAUAGGCUUCUCAAGUACAAAGAUAUCUUGAUUUACUAGAAAUGUAUUAGUACAAUGAUGAAUUUAGAGCGAUAAGGUUUUAAAGGAUGAUUAAAAGUGAUUAGAAAUAAAUAUAGUUAUAAUAGUCUAUAUAUUAAUUUAUUAAAUAUUAUAUUCUAUAGGUUUAUUUAUUUUAUAGUAAAAUAUUUAUACUAUAAAGUGUAUUUAUAAUGUUAAUAUUAGUAAUUAAAAGGUAUAAGUAGUGAACUCGGCAAUAGAGCUCUCAACUGUUUACCAAAAACAUAGCUACGUGGAUUAUAUACGUAGUAACCGCUGCUCAWUGAGUAUUUAAAUAGCCGCAGUACCCUGACUGUGCAAAGGUAGCAUAAUCAUUUGUCUCUUAAUUAGAGUCUCGUAUGAAGGAACCCAUGGGGGCUUUCUUUACCACUUAUAUAUAUAAAAGUUGCUUAGUAAGUGAAAAUACUUACAUUUAAUUAAUAGACGAGAAGACCCUAGAAAUUUUAACUUUUGUUGGGGCAACAUAGUAGCAAAUAACCUACUUUAUGUAUAUGAAAUAUAAUAGGAAAAUUAAAUUACUCUAGGGAUAACAGCAUAAUAUAGAAAUGUUUGUGACCUCGAUGUUGGAUUAGGAAGUUGUAACUUAGAA
rnacentral:rRNA from 1 species